rnacentral:rRNA from 1 species
UACGUAGGGCGCAAGCGUUAUCCGGAAUUAUUGGGCGUAAAGAGCUCGUAGGCGGUCUGUCGCGUCGGAUGUGAAAACCCAGGGCUCAACCCUGGGCCUGCAUUCGAUACGGGCAGACUAGAGUAUGGCAGGGGAGACUGGAAUUCCUGGUGUAGCGGUGAAAUGCGCAGAUAUCAGGAGGAACACCAGUGGCGAAGGCGGGUCUCUGGGCCAAAACUGACGCUGAGGAGCGAAAGCGUGGGGAGCGAACAGG